UAAAACAGGUUUUGGAAGACUGUUUUGAAGACACAACUGCAUUAUGAUACAAAGCUGCAGAGAACCUAGAAAAUAAUUUAUCAGCAUUAGAAAGUCAACACUUGACUUUGAACAGUUCAUUUUUCUACAGGAUGUUUUAGAAAAGCUAGUAAGUUAGAAAAAAAAAUGACAUCAAGGCAGGAGGUCACUUCUUGGUAAAAUAGAUUUUCAAAAAUUUGUUAGAAAUUGAUUUAGAAACUGCUAGGUUUCCAUUAGAAACAGAGCAAAGUAGUGUCAAGGCUUGGUUUACAAGUAAGAAAAAUCUGAGUUGAGGUUUUAAAAAUAUCUGCCAGAACCUUACGUGAAUUUUACAGCAGUUUUAUAAAGUUAGCAUAAAUUAUAAUAUACAGCAUAAAAAUACAUGCAAUACAUUUGAAAUAGAAUGCCACCCAUCUUUCUUUUACUGGGCAAUUCCAACAAACUCCCUAAAAAGUGGGUCUGCAUUCAUUAAAUUUGGAUCUCUACAAUACUGGGUCAGCAAGCAUCACAAAUUCAUCUGGAUCAAAAGGCAUGUGCCAACCCCCAGCCUAUGCCAAACGGAAUCACACUGUUGAGAAUUCCCCGUACCUGUUGUUUUCACACCAGCUAUGAUGUGACAAACGACCCAGUGCAGCAGAUCACAGCUCUCCUGCCUCACAGUCUUGAUCCCCUCUACAGUCUGCUCUACAAUUUUUCUGUCGAUAUUUCUGGAAUAAAUGUGAACUAGCAAAGGCAGUUUAUACUUGAUCUGUACUUUCUGGUGCAAAGCUGCAAUUUUUAUGAUGGUGCUGUCCAAAACCCAGGUUCAAGGUAUUAUUCAGCUGCAGUCUCCUCCAUACCACUAAUGAAGAAGGCAGCUGAAGGAGAAGCAGCUCAUUAUCUUUUAUCAGUUCAGAGUAAAAGGCAGAUACUGAACCUGUGUCCUGGAGAGUUAAUUUUCUUUCCAAUAGCCAGUACAGUGUGAUGUUUUGAAUUCAGUAUGAGGCUGAUGUUGAUAACAUCCAGAUGGCUCAGUUGUUGCUCUGCAGUGCUUGCUCUGAGGCAGGGGCUUUUCAGGUUCCCAUGCUCUGCCAGUGAGGAGCUGCACAAGGACUUGGGUGGGAGCAUGACCAGGACAGCUGACUCAAACUGGCCAAAGGGAUAUUCUGGGCCACAGAAUAUCAUGUGCAGUAUUGAAACUGGGGGGUCAUUGGACAGGAGAGACUGAUUGCUGCUGAGGGAGAAGCAGCAAGCUGGUGAUCAGUUGUAUCGUGCAUCACUUGUUUCCCUAAGAGUAAUUAAACCUAACUCCUUCUCAUUACAAUUAUUAUGAUGCUAUUACAAUAUUUUAUUUUGCUUCAAUUAUUAAACUGUUCUUAUCUUAAGCCAUAGGUUUACUUUCUUCCUGGUUCUCCGCCACAGCUGACCUCACUCAGAUACCCUGGCUCCUUCUCAGCCUGCACAGGUAAUCCUCAGGGGCGAGGGGGAAGCCUGGCCACCUACCAAGAUCUUGCAGGCAGUUCUGGCCCCACUGCUCAGAUGCUGUUUGUUCACCCUUGCUAACAUCUGGGACACUAAAAACUACCAUUCAGUGGUCUGAAGCAAACGGCAACCUCAGGAAUUGUAAGCCUAGUGCAGUAACUGGAAAACUGGAAUUUCAGAACAGUAACUGACACCAGAAGAACAAGAGGAAGAUGUUGCUCCCCCGUUAAGUUCUAACUACAACAACCCUCAUGUUGGAAUCCUCAGUGUCUUGCAAAAGAGAGCUUAAGUUUCUUAAUGCAAAUUCUGGACAACAAAAGCAGCUCCUUUUCAUCUGCUCAUCAUACUAAAGUAUUUUCUAAUACUAGAAAGUUAGGCUAGUACUUUUUCCAUGCUGUCAC